rnacentral:rRNA from 1 species
GGGCCCGCACAAGCGGUGGAGCAUGUGGUUUAAUUCGAUGAUACGCGAGGAACCUUACCAGGACUUAAAUGUAAGUUGCAUGAUUCAGAAAUGAAUCUUUCUUCGGACUACUUACAAGGUGCUGCAUGGUUGUCGUCAGCUCGUGCCGUGAGGUGUCAGGUUAAGUCCUAUAACGAGCGCAACCCCUAUCGUUAGUUGCCAGCAAGUAAAGUUGGGUACUCUAACAAGACUGCCGGUGCAAACCGUGAGGAAGGUGGGGAUGACGUCAAAUCAUCACGGCCCUUACGUCCUGGGCUACACACGUGCUACAAUGGUCGGUACAGAGGGAAGCUACCCCGUAAGGGGAUG